rnacentral:rRNA from 1 species
UACAGGAGUCCACGUUGUCGGAUUACUGGGCGUAAAGGGUGCGUAGGCGGGUUCUUUAAGUCAGGGGUGAAAUCCUGGAGCUCAACUCCAGAACUGCCUUUGAUACUGAAGAUCUUGAGUUCGGGAGAGGUGAGUGGAACUGCGAGUGUAGAGGUGAAAUUCGUAGAUAUUCGCAAGAACACCAGUGGCGAAGGCGGCUCACUGGCCCGAUACUGACGCUGAGGCACGAAAGCGAUGGGGAGGCAAACAGGG